rnacentral:rRNA from 1 species
GACGAACCGUGCGAACGUUGUUCGGAUUCACUGGGCUUAAAGGGCGCGUAGGCGGGCAUUCAAGUCAGGGGUGAAAUCUUUCGGCCCAACCGGAAAAGUGCCUCUGAUACUGGAUGUCUCGAGUGAGGUAGGGGCGUGUGGAACUUCCGGUGGAGCGGUGAAAUGCGUAGAUAUCGGAAGGAACGCCGGUGGCGAAAGCGACGCGCUGGACCUCAACUGACGCUGAGGCGCGAAAGCCAGGGGAG